rnacentral:rRNA from 1 species
CCUACGGGUGGCAGCAGUGGGGAAUUUUGGACAAUGGGCGAAAGCCUGAUCCAGCAAUGCCGCGUGCAGGAUGAAGGCCCUCGGGUUGUAAACUGCUUUUGUACGGAACGAAAAGCCUGGGGCUAAUAUCCCCGGGUCAUGACGGUACCGUAAGAAUAAGCACCGGCUAACUACGUGCCAGCAGCCGCGGUAAUACGUAGGGUGCAAGCGUUAAUCGGAAUUACUGGGCGUAAAGCGUGCGCAGGCGGUUUUGUAAGACAGUGGUGAAAUCCCCGGGCUCAACCUGGGAACUGCCAUUGUGACUGCAAGGCUAGAGUGCGGCAGAGGGGGAUGGAAUUCCGCGUGUAGCAGUGAAAUGCGUAGAUAUGCGGAGGAACACCGAUGGCGAAGGCAAUCCCCUGGGCCUGCACUGACGCUCAUGCACGAAAGCGUGGGGAGCAAACAGGAUUAGAUACCCCGGUAGUCU